UGGGGAAUAUUGCACAAUGGGGGAAACCCUGAUGCAGCGACGCCGCGUGAACGAAGAAGGUAUUCGUAUCGUAAAGUUCUGUCCUAUGGGAAGAUAAUGACAGUACCAUAGAAGAAAGCUCCGGCUAAAUACGUGCCAGCAGCCGCGGUAAUACGUAUGGAGCGAGCGUUGUCCGGAAUUAUUGGGCGUAAAGGGUACGCAGGCGGUUUAAUAAGUCGAAUGUUAAAGAUCGGGGCUCAACCCCGCAAAGCAUUGGAAAAUGAUAAACUUGAGUAGUGGAGAGGAAAGUGGAAUUCCUAGUGUAGUGGUGAAAUACGUAGAUAUUAGGAGGAAUACCAGUAGCGAAGGCGACUUUCUGGACACAAACUGACGCUGAGGUACGAAAGCGUGGGGAGCAAACAGG
rnacentral:rRNA from 1 species